CUCACCUCUGAACUCCCAGUGCUGCCGUUUCCUCCAUGUGUCCUGCAGCUCUGGAUGCGACUAAUAUGACGACUCUGGGAAAGAAAAGGCAGAAGACCAGGUUAAAGUUUUAACCUUUCAGUCCGAGUUGAAUCCAUUUUUGGGUCCAUUUUUGCUCGAGAUUCUUCACCAGGGGAAAAAAAGAGCCUUAGUGCCACCUAGUGGUCAAACAAGAUGCCUGCCUUGAUAUUGGAUGAAUAAAAGAUAAAUAAAAAAGCACUUUAUUUUAAUCUUUUUAUUAGGCUCUCUCAUUUCCCCUCUACUUCCCUGGUCUUUGUUUCCACAGUGGCACUAAUUCACCAGAAAUAAAAUGUUAUCUAAAUAUGGAGUUCAUCAAAAUAUUUGAACAGAACCUGAGUCACAUUUCAAGAGGAAAUCUGAGGCACUUGAUUUCGAAAACACGAGUCUGGGUCAAAGGUGAAUGUGGUUUUACAGCCUGUCAUGAAAGAUGAUUGGAGGGAAGGAAAAUGUAGGGAACUGAAAGUCAUCCAUAGCGCCAGUUCAGUGUCAGUCAUCCGAGGCUGGGAAACGGGAAACACAACCAUGGACGGCGCUGCUUUGCGUCGGACAUGCAUCGGUCUUAUUGUGUCUGUUUUGAUCCAUGUGGUUACUGGAAGUCCA